CAGUAGCCGCGGCAAUACAGAGGGUGCGAGCGUUAAUCGGAUUUACUGGGCGUAAAGCGUGCGUAGGCGGCUUCUUAAGUCGGAUGUGAAAUCCCUGAGCUUAACUUAGGAAUUGCAUUCGAUACUGGGAAGCUAGAGUAUGGGAGAGGAUGGUAGAAUUCCAGGUGUAGCGGUGAAAUGCGUAGAGAUCUGGAGGAAUACCGAUGGCGAAGGCAGCCAUCUGGCCUAAUACUGACGCUGAGGUACGAAAGCAUGGGGAGCAAACAGGAUUAGAUACCCCCGUAGUCCCUGUCUCUUAUAC
rnacentral:rRNA from 1 species